GACGAACGCUGGCGGCGUGCUUAACACAUGCAAGUCGAACGGAAAGGCCCUGCUUUUGUGGGGUGCUCGAGUGGCGAACGGGUGAGUAACACGUGAGUAACCUGCCCUUGACUGUGGGAUAACUUCAGGAAACUGGGGCUAAUACCGGAUAGGAGCUCCUGCUGCAUGGUGGGGGUUGGAAAGUUUCGGCGGUUGGGGAUGGACUCGCGGCUUAUCAGCUUGUUGGUGGGGGAGUGGCUUACCAAGGCUUUGACGGGUAGCCGGCCUGAGAGGGUGACCGGCCACAUUGGGACUGAGAUACGGCCCAGACUCCUACGGGAGGCAGCAGUGGGGAAUAUUGCACAAUGGGCGGAAGCCUGAUGCAGCAACGCCGCGUGCGGGAUGACGGCCUUCGGGUUGUAAACCGCUUUCGCCUGUGACGAAGCGUGAGUGACGGUAAUGGGUAAAGAAGCACCGGCUAACUACGUG
rnacentral:rRNA from 1 species